rnacentral:rRNA from 1 species
CSUAGAGUUUGAUCAUGGCUCAGGAUGAACGCUAGCGGCAGGCCUAACACAUGCAAGUCGAGGGGUAUAAGAAGCUUGCUUUUUAGAGACCGGCGCACGGGUGAGUAACGCGUAUGCAACCUACCUUUUACAGGRGAAUAGCCCGAAGAAAUUCGGAUUAAUGCUCCAUGGUUUAUUURGAKGGCAUCAUUUGAAUMAUAAAGAUUUAUCGGUAAAAGAUGGGCAUGCGUGUCAUUAGCUAGUUGGUAUGGUAACGGCAUACCAAGGCAACGAUGACUAGGGGUCCUGAGAGGGAGAUCCCCCACACUGGUACUGAGACACGGACCAGACUCCUACGGGAGGCAGCAGUGAGGAAUAUUGGUCAAUGGAGGCAACUCUGAACCAGCCAUGCCGMGUGCAGGAUGACGGUCCUAUGGAUUGUAAACUGCUUUUGUACGGGAAGAAAUGUGCCUACGAGUAGGUAUUUGWCGGUACCGUAAGAAUAAGGAUCGGCUAACUCCGUGCCAGCAGCCGCGGUAAUACGGAGGAUCCGAGCGUUAUCCGGAAUUAUUGGGUUUAAAGGGUUCGUAGGCGGUCAGAUAAGUCAGUGGUGAAAUCUCAUAGCUUAACUAUGAAMCUKCCGUUGAURCUGUUUGACUUGAAUAGUAUGGAAGUAACUAGAAUAUGUAGUGUAGCGGUGAAAUGCUUAGAUAUUACAUGGAAUACCAAUUGSGAAGGCAGGUUACUACGUACUUAUUGACGCUGAUGAACGAAAGCGUGGGUAGCGAACAGGAUUAGAUACCCUGGUAGUCCACKCCGUAAACGAUGGAUACUAGCUGUUCGGUUUUCGSACUGAGUGGCUAAGCGAAAGYGAUAAKAUCCCCGCCU